CUGAGAAAGGCGGAAGCUCGACUAUCGAAGAAAGUGUUCGUCGCAGAGCUUACUAUUCGCAGCGUGGGUCCGAGGCUGAAGGCAAUGCCUUCCGCCGUUGAUGCAAAUACACACCGCGUGGGUAUGCAGUCCAUUUAUACAAACAACACCACCAGGACAUGAGUGAGAACGGUUAAUCAUCGAAACGCGAGCAUCCCAAUUGUGGGUAAAGUCUGUUUCUAUAAUCUAAAUUGUUACCUCCGUAGAUCGUUACCUCGCGGGCUUUGUAUUCUUCAUCCCUGUUGAAAAUUCAGGCACUCUGCUUUGCCUUUGCUAUGAUAUAUUUCACCAUUUUCAUGGA